rnacentral:rRNA from 1 species
UACGUAGGGCGCAAGCGUUGUUCGGAAUUAUUGGGCGUAAAGAGCUCGUAGGCGGUUCGUCAAGUCCGCUGUGAAAACCCAGGGCUCAACCCUGGGCUUGCAGUGGAUACGGGCAGACUAGAGGUAGGUAGGGGAGAAUGGAAUUCCCGGUGUAGCGGUGAAAUGCGCAGAUAUCGGGAGGAACACCGGUGGCGAAGGCGGUUCUCUGGGCCUUACCUGACGCUGAGGAGCGAAAGCGUGGGGAGCGAACAGG